GAAGGGACCUAGCGUAGUUCGGAAUUACUGGGCUUAAAGAGUUCGUAGGUGGUUAAAAAAGUUGGUUGUGAAAUCCCGAAGCUUAACUUCGGAACUGCAAUCAAAACUUUUUAGCUAGAGUAUGAUAGAGGAAAGCAGAAUUUCUAGUGUAGAGGUGAAAUUCGUAGAUAUUAGAAAGAAUACCAAUUGCGAAGGCAGCUUUCUGGAUCAUUACUGACGCUGAGGAACGAAAGCAUGGGUAGCGAAGAGGAUUAGAUACCCUCGUAGUCCAUGCCGUAAACGAUGUGUGUUAGACGUUGGAAAUUUAUUUUCAGUGUCGCAGCGAAAGCAAUAAACACACCGCCUGGGGAGUACGACCGCAAGGUUAAAACUCAAAUGAAUUGACGGGGACCCGCACAAGUAGUGGAGCAUGUGGUUUAAUUCGAAGAUACGCGCAGAACCUUACCAACACUUGACAUGUUCGUCGCGACUCUAAGAGAUUAGAGUUUUCGGUUCGGCCGGACGAAACACAGGUGCUGCAUGGCUGUCGUCAGCUCGUGUCGUGAGAUGUUGGGUUAAGUCCCGCAACGAGCGCAACCCUCACUUUUAGUUGCCAUCAUUAAGUUGGGCACU
rnacentral:rRNA from 1 species